CAGUGAGUAGUUUAAGGUUAGAAUCCUGGCUUUGGGAGCCAGGGGUGGGAGUUAGAUUCUCUCCUCUUUGA
rnacentral:tRNA from 1 species